rnacentral:lncRNA from 1 species
UGUCAUCUCCUUCCUUUUGCUGAUUUUGGGCUUAGUUUGUUCUUCUUUUUCUAGUUCCUUGAGGUUUAAUGUUAGGUUGUUUAUUUGAGAUCUUUCUUUUUCUUUCUUUGAGGAAGAUUAGCCCUGAGCUAACUACUGCCAAUCCUCCUCUUUUUGCUGAGGAAGACUAGCCCUGAGCUAACAUCCAUGCCCAUCUUCCUCUACUUUAUAUGUGGGACGCCUACCACAACAUGGCUUUUGCCAAGUGGUGCCAUGUCCGCACCCGGGAUCUGAACCAGUGAACCCUGGGCCACUGAGAAGUGGAACGUGUGAACUUAACUGCUGUGCCACCACGCCGGCCCCCAGAGAUCUUUCUUAAUGUAGGCAUUUAUAGCUAUAAACUUCCCUCUUAGAACUGCUUUUGUUGCAUCCUAUAAGGUUUGGUUUGUUGUGUUUCCAUUUUUGUUUGUCUCAAGAUAUUUUUUGGUUUCUUCUUUGAUCCCUUAGUUGUUCAAGAAUGUGUUAAUUUCCACAUAUUUCUGAAUUUUCCAGCUUUUCCUCCUGUUAUUGAUUUCUAGUUUCAUAUCAUUGUGGUCAGAAAAGAUAGUUGACAUAAUUUUUAUCUUCUUGAAUUUUUUGGGACUUGUUUUGUGGCCUAAGACAUGAUCUAUCCUAGGAAAUGUGCCAUGUGCACUUGGGAAGAAUGUGUGUUCUGCUGCUGUUGGAUGCAAUGUUCUGUAUAUGUUUGUUAAGUCCAUUUGGUUUAUAGUGUUGUUUAAAUCUACUGUUUCCUUAUUUAUUCUCUGUCUGGAUGAUCUAUCCAUCGUUGAGAGUUAGGUAUUAAAGUCCCCAACUAUUACUGUGUUGCUGUUUAUUUCUCAUUUUAGUUUAGUUAGUAUUUGCUUCUGUGUUUAGGUGGUCUGAUGCUGGGUGCAUAAAUAUUUACAAUUGUUGUAUCUUCUUGAUGAAUUGACCCCUUUAUCAUUAUAUAAUGAUCACCUUUGUUUCUUUUGACCAUUUUUAGCUUAAAGUCUAUUGUAGCUAAAGUCUAUCCUUGCCUUCCUUUGGUUACCAUUUGCUCAGAAUAUCUUUUUCCAUCUCUUCACACUCAGCCUCUGUGCAUCCUUAAAGCUAAAGUGAAUCUCUUGUAGGCAGUCUAUUGUUGGAUCUAGUUUUUUAAAUCCAUCCAUCCAUUCUGUGUCUUUUGAUUGGAGAAUUUAAUCCAUUUAUGUUUAAAGUAAUUAUUGAAAAGUAAGGAUUUACUAUUUGCUUUUUGUUAAUUGUUUUCUGACUAUUUUGUAGAUCCUUUGUUCCUUGCUCCCUGUCUUGCUGUCUUCCUUUUUGAUUUGAUGAGUUUUUGUGGAAGUAUGCUUUGACACCUUUAUCAUAAUCUUUUGUGUAUCUACUACAGGUUUUUCCUUUGUGGUUAUCAUGAGGCUUAUGUAAAAUAUCAUAUAGUUGUAUCUUCCUAUUCUAAGCUGAUAACAAUUAUUUAUAGAAUGUCUAUUUUGUGCCUGUGUUUAUAUUCCUCACUGGGGAAUACAAAGUUUAAUAAAAGAAAGCUCCUACCCAUGAAAUCAGAUAGCCUUCUGGGUUAGACACAUGUUACCUGGGCUGGGGAGUGCAGGGUAGGAAAGUCUUCUUGAAAGAUUAGUAGGAAUCAGCCAUGUUACAAAGAGCGGGAAGUUUGUUGGCCAGAAGGAAUGCAUAUACAAAGGAAACAAGAAACAAACAGACAACAUGUUUUGGUAUUUCUGGAAGAAGGGGUUAAUUUUGAAGUUGGCUGUGUUUUUAGACUGGAGAAAGGGAAAGGGACCAGGUCUGGGAGGGUUUAGUUUGUCUUACUAAGAAGCUUGGACUUUAUCUUAUAGCCAAUAGAAAGUCAUUGAUAAGCGGUAGCAUAAACAUCAGCUUUAUGUAUUAAUGGUGACUUCUAGCAACAACAGUAUGGAAUAGGGAUUGCUUCCCUGGAGGUAGAGAGAAGAGUUAGAAGCUAUUGCAUUGUUCUAGGUGACAGAUGGUAAACACUUUGAAACAGGGCAGUAGUAUUAGGGAUAGAGGAACAUAACAAGUUCAAGAAGUAUUUAGGAGGUAGAAGUGUCAGAACUUGGUGACAAUAGGAUGUUUCGGCUGAGGAAGAGAGAACAGUAUAGAAUGAAUUCCCAGUGUCUGGCUUGUGUGACUGAUUGAAUGGUAGAUUAACUGACAUAGGGAAUGCAGGAAGGGGAGCAAAUCUGAUGCCAAAAGAAGAUGAAUUAAGUUUCAGUCCUGUUGAUCUGACACAUAAUUGGAGUUUGAUAGGUGGGUCUAACACUUUGUCGAAGGACUGGGUGUGAGGAUUUACAUAUGUGACGAGGAUUCAAUGUCAUGGCUUAUAUGACUAGCAUGGGAGAUGCUGUGUAGAUUUAUUCAUUCACUGAUUCCUGUUCCAGGGUAUUUCCUGCCAUUAACACUAUCAGGGAUCUGUUGCAAGUGAUAGAAAUCCAGUUUGAAGAAUUUUAGGCAAUUGAGUAUUGGUUCACAACAAGUGGGAAAGAGAGAAUGCAACUUGUGGCAACCUCAGAGAGAGAGGUCAACGAUAUUUUGGAACCUGGAAAGUACAUACACAAGAGUUAACUAACUUUGGGGCUGGCCCCGUGGCCGAGUGGUUAAGUUCGUGCGCUCCCCUUUGGCGGCCCAGGGUUCAGAUCCUGGGUGCAGACAUGGCACCAUUCAUUAGGCCAUGUUGAGGUGGCAUCCCACAUGCCACAACUAGAAGGACCCACAACUAAAAUAUACAACUAUGUACUGGGGGGAUUUGGGGAGAAGAAAAAAAAACUUCCUGUCUUACAAAAAAAAGAGUAACUUAGCAGACCACAGAAAGCUGAAUUCUGUCGACAUUCACCAGUCAGAGAUCACCAGGAACACAGGUGGAGUUAACCAAAGUUAUGUUUAUUUAGUUUCUGCAGCAAAGGAGAACGCCCAGGGGAAUCUUGGAAGCAUCUCACUAAGGGAGAAUUGGGAAGGAAUUCUUAUAGGAGCUGGGAUUGUGCUGCAUAAUUCUAGGGAGGGAUUAGGGAGGUGGGGUGCCAUCUCUGGAUGGAAUAUGCUUGAGAAAUGGGGCAUUUUCAGCAAUUGGCUAUCUCAGAAAUCUUUUUUCAGGAGACUAAAGAAAUAAGCAGACUGAGAUGUCAUUGGUAACAAAGCAGCAAUCACUUAGAAGAAAAGAUUGUUAGUCAUUUUUGCAGCUGUGGUAUGGCCUUGUAUAGAAAUACUGUUUAUGUGAUCUUGUCCGUGUCCCUUGGAAACAUUGUUUAUGUUCUCUUAGGAAUAUCACAGUCUGAUUACCAGCACGGCUGAUUUUCAUUUUCUCAAAUCUAACUGCCAGCAAGAGGGUAACUCCAAGAAGCAGGCCAAUUUUCACAGCAGUAUCCUGGAAAGGCUCAAAUUAGACGCAACGGGCAUGGGUAUGAGUGGAACUGAAAACCUGAGAAAGUAUAUGAAAAUGAAAGUCUGCAUAAGAAAGCAGUUAGGCCUUGUUAUGGACUAAAUGUUCGUGUCCUUGCAAAAUUUGUAUGUAGAAAUCCUAGCCCCCAAUGUGAUGUUAUUAGGAGGUGGGGCCUUUGGGAGGUGAUUAGGUCGUGAGGGUGAAGCCCUCAUAUUUGGCAUUUGUGCUCUUAUAAAAGAGACACCAGAGAGCUCUUUUGUCCCUUCUACCACGUGUGAAACCAGAAAGUAGACUCUCACCAGACACCUGCAUCUUUUUUUUUAAUUUGAUUUUUUCUUCUUUAUUUUUUGAGAAAGAUUAGCCCUGAGCUAAUAUCUGCUGCCAAUCCUCCUCCUUUUGCUGAGGAAGACUGGCCCUGAGCUAACAUCCGUGCCCAUCUUCCUCUACUUUAUAUGUGGGGCACCUACCACGGCAUGGCUUGACAAGCAGUGCAUAGGUCUGCCCCUGGGAUCGGGGCUGGCGAACCCCGGGCUGCUGAAGCAGAACGUGCGAACUUAACCGCUGCGCCACUGGGCUGGCCCCUCUGCUGGCAUCUUGAUCUUAGACUUCCCAGCCUCCAGAACUGUGAGAAAUAAAUGUUUGUUGUUGAAAGUGCUCCGUCUGUGGUAUUGCUGUUAGGGUAGCCUGAACGGACUAAGACAAACCUCUAGAGCUUUCUCUCUGUUCUACAUAGCCAGGCUCCAACUCACGACCCCUGCAGAAGGUUGAAAGUUUCCUCUCUAGAGAGGUUGAAUCAGAGAGACUGGAUCUGGGAAUAUGCGAAAUAGCAAAGGGAAGGGAGGUCCUACUGAGAAUGGGAACUGAGCGAAAGUUUGCUUAGACGCCAGCCUUCUUCUCUGACUCAGCUGUCAGAAGACUGAUUUUUCAGCCUUAGAAAUGGAAGGAUUCUUCUUUUGGGAAACCAGUUAAUCUUACGGAUAUUGGCAGGAGGGAAGGUGGGCCCCAAGGGAAACAGCUGGGUCCCAACCUGAUCACUCUACAGUGAAGCCCAUGCUUAGCUUCAAACUAGCUUUCUUGUGCCUUACUCUUUUUUUUUUUUUUUAGGAAGAUUAACCCUGAGCUAACUACUGCCAAUCCUCCUCUUUUUGCUGAGGAAGACUGGCCCUGAGCUAACAUCCAUGCCCAUCUUCCUCUACUUUAUACGUGGGAUGCCUACCACAGUACGGUGUGCCAAGUGGUGCCAUGUCCGCACCCGGGAUCCAAACCGGCAAACCCCGGGCCACCAAGAAGCAGAACUUGUGCACUUAACUGCUACGCCACCAGGCUGGCCCCAACAUGGCUUACUGUUAAAUCUGGACAGCACUGAAGGACCAUGAGAUAUUUGAGAAAAGCAUUUAACAUGUAAGGGAAAUAAAACAAACAUUAAAAAAUUUAGAAGAUAAGAGACAAUCCAAGGAGCAGAAGAUGAUAUUGAAUCCAAGAAAUAAGAAAAGGAUGCUCCAAAAGUGAAUAUUCAGCAGUCAAUGAAUAGUUUUUGGAAAUUAAAAAUGCAUAAGCUAAACUAAAAAAUUAAUAGAAGCUUUGUAAAUUAAAGUUGAAGACAUCUUCAAAGUAGAAAAAAAAAGAGAGAAAUAUAAGGAAAUAGGACCAUUUGAGCAGGUCCCAUGUUCAAAUAAAGGCGUUCUAAAAAGACAGAACAUAGAAAAGAGAGGAGGAACUAAUCAAGGAAAAAAGUACAAGAAAACUUCUCAGAAUGGAAAUGCCUGAGUCUCCAGAUUGAAAGCAUCCACUGAGUGUCCAGCAAAACGAAUGAAAAAAAAUCCCACACAAAGACAAAGCGUUGCGAGAUUUUAGAAUGUCAGGGUGAAAGAGAAGAUUCUAAAACUCUAGGGGUAGGGAGGGGAACAGAUCACAUAUGAUGGAAAGGAAAGCUGGACCACAAUAAAGCAAUGGCUUCAACAUUCCAAGGAAAAAUGAAAUCCAGUCUAGAAUUCUAUAGCUACUAUUACUAUCAAUGAGACGUGAGCAUAGCAUAAAGCUGUGAAGCCUAUUUUAAUGUCUUCUGGACCCUUCCUCCCAAUGUAGAUGGACUUGGUGAUUAUGGAAAUAUUUGCUUUUGAAGCUUCCUGCUUUGAGGAUGUAGGAAUGUUGAGAGACAUAAUUCAGACUGUUUGGGAAAGAAAACGUGUGCCUCUCCCUCCCUGGGGAUCACUGUGGACCACGGAGGUUCCUAGGAGGCAGGUGAGAAAAAACGCUUCAUGGCAGGUGCCGGUGUCGUCUUACUUUGUGUAGGUUCUUCUUGUCCUCCCCUCCACCCUAACUCCCGACAGAGGUCCCCAGACAGAAUGAUGAAAAAUAAAAAAGGCAAGGGAUCUACAGAACACUUCCUUUAGGAAAUAGGGCAAUCUGGAGUGUUAAAUGUGACAGACUGAUGGCAUAUUAUAGGUUUAUUUAAUCAAUAUUUAUUCAUUGUAAGUUUUAUUUAAUCAAUAUCGAUUAUUCAUAGUGAUGAGGAGAAUAAGUGUUGGGGUCAGCAAAACCUGG